GGGGUGGCACUAAAUUUCUGGUAGCCCUUGAUCACCUUGUUUACCGCAUCAAGAAAGUCUUUCUCGGUCACCGUCUUCCUUCGAGCUCUGAUUGCAAACAUACCAGCCUCCGUACACACGCUCCUUAUGUCGGCUCCAGUGGAAUUGGGGCAGAGACGGGCGAGAAGUUCGAACCGAAUGUCCCUUUCACAGUUCAUCGUCUUUGUGUGUAUCUUAAAGAUCUGUGUCCGGCUUUCUAGAUCAGGAAGACCAAACUCGACUUUGCGGUCCAAUCGUCCAGGGCGCAGUAGAGCAGGGUCCAGAGUAUCAGGCCUAUUAGUCGCCAUCAGAACUUUUAUGUUUCCUCUAGCAUCAAAACCAUCAAGCUGAUUUACUAUCUCAAGCAUAGUGCGCUGCACUUCAUUGUCACCUCCAACGCCAUCGUCAAAGCGAGCACCGCCGAUUGCAUCCACUUCAUCAAAGAACACAAUACAGGCUUUCUUUGAACGUGC
rnacentral:misc_RNA from 1 species